UACAAAAUCUUCUCACAUAUCUUCAUAAAAGAAAGAUAUCGACUGUAAGCGAAAGAAAAUAUUACAUGAUCAAAGAUUCAAAGCACCCACCUGUUAGCAUUCCCCAUGAGCUACAAUCCAAGGUCAAAUUAUACCAGAUGUUCAUAUGAGAGCUCUCAAGGGGGUGUACCUUCUCGAUCGCCGAUUAACCAGUAGAAUGCUGGCCAUAGCACCAUGGCCCUCCUCUCCUGCCGACUUGACUGCCGGCGAGAAGCCAUAAAUGCCGACGGCCCAAAGUUCCAUGGUAAUAAGUAAAUUUGCAGGAAUUGAAAGUUCCUUUUCUUCCCUUUCUUCACUUCCAUUUUCAUUGUCUUGUACCAUUACUGAAAAUCAUUUGAUAAUUGAGAUGGAAGAAAAUGAAAUAUUGUGAAUAAAACCCCACCCAUUUCGUCGAUGACCCCAAAUUGGGAUUCUGAAAUUUCUGAUUUUACUAA